rnacentral:rRNA from 1 species
UACAGAGGGGGCAAGCGUUGUUCGGAAUUACUGGGCGUAAAGGGCGCGUAGGCGGCCUGUUAAGUCGAACGUGAAAUCCCCGGGCUCAACCCGGGAACUGCGUCCGAUACUGGCAGGCUUGAAUCCGGGAGAGGGAUGCGGAAUUCCCGGUGUAGUGGUGGAAUGCGUAGAUAUCGGGAGGAACACCAGUGGCGAAGGCGGCUUCCUGGACCGGUUCUGACACUGAGGAGCGAAAGCGUGGGGAGCGAUCCGG